CCCCCCUCCUCUCUCUCCUCAACCCCCUCCACCCCCCUCUCUUUGGCCGUGAGAGGAGGAGAGAAAGAGACCAAAAGCCUCUUAGCAACACAGCCCCUUCUCUGCUGCUGCUGCUGCUAAAGCUGCUGCUGCUGCUAAGGCUGCUGCUGCUGCUAAAGCUGCUGCUGCUAUUGCUGCUCCUGCUGCUGCUGUUGCUUGGCCCUGGCUGGAGACAUCUCACUACACCCAGGAGCAGCCACUUCCCCCAGCUCUCCUCCUCCUCCUCCUCUCCUGCUCUCCUCCUCCUCCUCCUCUUCUCCUCCUCCUCCUCCACUCCCCCCCUUUAUUACCCUUUGUGUCAUCCUCCACAGCUCCAGGGAAGGGACUCAAAAGUGGGGGGCAGGAAAGCAGCUUGAAAAAUUUUUGUCAUCAUAGUUUUGAAGUCUGAAGAUAAUGUGCCUGGGAGCUCACAGAGAAUGUUACUUCCUGGAUGUAUGAAACAGAUGUGGAAAAUUUUGUUGUUUAUAGACAAGAACUCUCAAAUUUAGCCA